GAAAAAUGCAAUAUAAUAAACCGCUGGUAUGGGAUAUAUGAACACCAGAUGAGACCGCAUUGCAGAUGCUGGAAAUCUGGAGCAACACAUUCAAAACACUGGAGGAACUCAGCAGAGGGUUGUGAAUCUUUGGAACCCUUGCCCAGAGGCCGUGGAAGUGCAGUUGUUCAAUGUAUAUGCGAUAGUGGCCGAUGGAUCUUUGGAUAUCAGAGGAGAUGGGAAUCAAACAGGAAUGUGGAUCUGCAGAACAGUUCCAGCCAAGAACCCUGAAUCUAUCAAUCACUGGCUCUACGUUAUCGCUGGGCGUAAAUCCCGGAGCUACCUCCCCAACAGCACCAAGGAAGCACCUGCACGUUUCAAGAUUCAAGAUUGUUUCGUGUCAUUUCCAGUACACAA